GCUGGUGUAGCUCAGCUGGUAGAGCAACUGAUUCGUAAUCAGUAGGUCGGUGGUUCGAGUCCACUCACCAGCACCA
rnacentral:tRNA from 1 species